rnacentral:lncRNA from 1 species
UCUACACUCCUUGGUUAAGAGGACAACCAACGUAUAUGGCACCCAACGACCUAUUCUUGAUAAUGCUAUUGUCCUAGUGAUAGCAUAUCGUUUGGCCGCGAACUAGUUUAAGGACUUGUUGAUAAAUCCUCCUUUAUCGUUUAAUAGAGUCCUAAGGACUUCAUUACAUUACUUGAGUUCACGAAGAUGCAAAAUAUGUAAUGAAAC